rnacentral:rRNA from 1 species
UACGGGGGGGGCAAGCGUUGUUCGGAAUUACUGGGCGUAAAGGGCCAGUAGGCGGCCAACUAAGUCGGAUGUGAAAUCCCUCAGCUUAACUGGGGAACUGCGUCUGAUACUGGAUGGCUUGGAUUCGGGAGAGGAAUGCGGAAUUCCAGGUGUAGCGGUGAAAUGCGUAGAUAUCUGGAGGAACACCGGUGGCGAAGGCGGCAUUCUGGACCGACAUUGACGCUGAGGAGCGAAAGCCAGGGGAGCAAACGGG